CCUACGGGCGGCAGCAGUGAGGAAUUUUCCGCAAUGGGCGCAAGCCUGACGGAGCGACGCCGCGUGAAGGAUGAAGGCUUUCGGGUCGUAAACUUCUUUUGUGGGGGACAAGUUGAUGAUGGUACUCCACGAAUAAGCCCCGGCUAACUACGUGCCAGCAGCCGCGGUAAUACGUAGGGGGCGAGCGUUGUCCGGAAUUACUGGGCGUAAAGGGCGUGUAGGCGGUUGGAUAAGUCUGGUGUGAAAUGGCGAGGCUCAACCUCGUCGCUGCGCUGGAAACUGUCUGACUGGAGUUCGGCAGGGGUUACUGGAAUCCCCGGUGUAACGGUGAAAUGUGUAGAUAUCGGGGGGAACACCUGUGGCGAAGGCGGGUAACUGGGCCGAGACUGACGCUGAUACGCGAAAGCGUGGGGAGCAAACAGGAUUAGAUACCCGAGUAGUC
rnacentral:rRNA from 1 species